rnacentral:tRNA from 1 species
ACCGAUAUGGUGCAGUGGUUAGCAUUUUGGACUUUCAUUUGAGUUAUGUGAGCUCCAAAGACCGGGGUUCGAACCCCCGUAUCGGUG